CUCACUGAGAACCUUCCAGCUCACAGGUGUCUCCAGGAGGGAAGGAAGGGAGGAAAAGCUUGUGGCUGCUGUAAAAACUUCCUGCUCUAAGAAAUCUACCAGGAGAAAGGCGUUUCUUCACGCUCACUGGCUGGAUGCUUCAAAUGGGAUCCAAUGCCUCGAUCCCCAUCUGACUGUGUUCUUACAAAGUUUGAGGACAAAAUACAAUCAACAGUGAAGAAAGUAUUUGGAGAGAACAUCCCUAAGCACAGAGGAGCAAGGAUGCCUUCAGGCCUGCCUAUGACAGAGACUGGAGGCAGACAUGGAUGGCCAAUGCAAACAACGUCUGAGCAAGAGGAGGCCACUCCAAAGAGGGAGCAAGGAAGUGGACCUAAAGCAGGCUCCUGCUUGACUGCACCCACUGGCUCUGUCAGGGAACCAGGUGCAACAGCAGUGAAUUGAUUACAGCACUUACACACUAAGAUCAGGCAAUCAGACAGUCCCAGCAGAGGAUACACUGAGCAAAUGACUCAUGAUGGUCACUCCCUCCUAUCAUAGCUGAGCAUGUAUACAUGUGUGGUAUGUGUUUAAAGAUGGCACCUUGUCUUGGUAAUCUCAAAG